rnacentral:rRNA from 1 species
AGCCGAGGGCUUGACCACACAUGUUUCGCGUCCACUGUGCAGCUCUGAAACCACAACCACCGUCCCCUGGACGGCCGGCACGGUUGGUUGGUUUGAUAUGUGAAGAGUGCGCUGACAACACACGAGUUUCCCCCCAGGCCCGCGGGUGUGGGUGUGUGGGGGGUGUGUUUCGGUGGUCAUAGCGUGAGGGAAACGCCCGGAUCCUUUCCGAACCCGGAAGCUAAGCCUUACUGCGCCGAUGGUACUGCAUGCGGGAGCGUGUGGGAGAGUAGGACACCGCCGAAC